rnacentral:rRNA from 1 species
AUUGAACGCUGGCGGCAUGCCUUACACAUGCAAGUCGAACGGCAACAGGUCUUCGGAUGCUGACGAGUGGCGAACGGGUGAGUAAUACAUCGGAACGUGCCUAGUAGUGGGGGAUAACUACUCGAAAGAGUGGCUAAUACCGCAUGAGAUCUACGGAUGAAAGCAGGGGAUCGCAAGAACUUGUGCUACUAGAGCGGACGAUGGCAGAUUAGGUAGUUGGUGGGAUAAAAGCUUACCAAGCCGACGAUCUGUAGCUGGUCUGAGAGGACGAUCGGCCACACUGGGACUGAGACACGGCCCAGACUCCUACGGGAGGCAGCAGUGGGGAAUUUUGGACAAUGGGCGAAAGCCUGAUCCAGCAAUGCCGCGUGCAGGAUGAAGGCCUUCGGGUUGUAAACUGCUUUUGUACGGAACGAAAAGCCCCGGGUUAAUACCCUGGGGUCAUGACGGUACCGUAAGAAUAAGCACCGGCUAACUACGUGCCAGCAGCCGCGGUAA